CACCAGCCCCUCGAGUGGUGGGGAUGAUUAUUUGGCCUAAAGCGUCCGUAGCCGGCCGGGUAAGUUUCCCGUUAAAUCCAAUGUCUCAAGCAUUGGACUGCGGGAAAUACUGCCUGGCUAGAGAGUGGGAGAGGUGUACGGUAUUCUGGGGGUAGGGGCGAAAUCCUUUGAUCCCCGGAGGACCACCAGUGGCGAAGGCUGUACACUAGAACACGUCUGACGGUCAGGGACGAAAGCUGGGGGUAGCGAACCGGAUUAGAUACCCGGGUAGUCCUAGCUGUAAACGAUGCAUGCUAGGUGUUGGGUUGGCCACGAGCCACCCCAGUGCCGCAGGGAAGCCGUUAAGCAUGCCGCCUGGGAAGUACGGCCGCAAGGCUGAAACUUAAAGGAAUUGGCGGGGGAGCACCACAAGGGGUGAAGCUUGCGGUUU
rnacentral:rRNA from 1 species